UACGUAGGCAGCGAGCGUUGUUCGGAAUUACUGGGCGUAAAGAGUGUGUAGGCGGUGCUCCAAGUCUGUUGUGAAAUCUCCCGGCUCAACUGGGAGGGUGCGCCGAAUACUGAGCGACUAGAGUGCGGGAGAGGAAAGUGGAAUUCCUGGUGUAGCGGUGAAAUGCGUAGAUAUCAGGAGGAACACCGGUGGCGAAGGCGGCAUCCUGGACCAAUAUUGACGCUGAGGAGCGAAAGCUAGGGGAGCAAACGGG
rnacentral:rRNA from 1 species